rnacentral:rRNA from 1 species
CCUACGGGUGGCUGCAGUGGGGAAUAUUGCACAAUGGGCGCAAGCCUGAUGCAGCCAUGCCGCGUGUGUGAAGAAGGCCUUCGGGUUGUAAAGCACUUUCAGCGGGGAGGAAGGCGGUGAGGUUAAUAACCUCAUCGAUUGACGUUACCCGCAGAAGAAGCACCGGCUAACUCCGUGCCAGCAGCCGCGGUAAUACGGAGGGUGCAAGCGUUAAUCGGAAUUACUGGGCGUAAAGCGCACGCAGGCGGUCUGUCAAGUCGGAUGUGAAAUCCCCGGGCUCAACCUGGGAACUGCAUUCGAAACUGGCAGGCUAGAUUCUUGUAGAGGGGGGAAGAAUUCCGGGUGUAGCGGUGAAACGCGUAGAGAUCUGGAGGAAUACCGGUGGCGAAGGCGGCCCCCUGGACAAAGACUGACGCUCAGGUGCGAAAGCGUGGGGAGCAAACAGGAUUAAUACCCCGGUAGUC